GUAGCUGCUGCCCCUUUUAUAUUCUUCUACCAUCUUAGUUCCUAUCCAUACUAGUAUUGUGUUUAGCAAAAAUGAAAGUUUGUGCAAAAUUCUAGCGGUACUUUUUUUUGUCAAAAUCUACGAAACAUUAGUACUAUACACCUAGCUAUGUUGUACGUCCAACAGUGAAUGUACAUGUUUGGAGUUUGAAGAAAAAUACGUUGACUGUAAGAAAAGGCGUCCUUUCAUGGAUUCUUGUAGUGAACUACUUGUUAAAUUUGGGUGAGUCAAGAGUUGCCCAAGAAGAAGUUUAGCGAGCCCUCAUAAUAGACGAGAUCGGCAUUCAGCGAAGGAUAGGUAAGAUUCCACCAUAUUGGGAGUGCAGCCGAGUUUUGAGUCAUCGUGUCAGAAGUUUGUUGCUGACUUAUGGGUAGGCCGGUGCCCUGUCUCAUUUGUUGUCAAAUAAUCAUAGAGGCUUUGUAGAUAGAUGUUUAUGUAUGUUGUACAGUAUAUCAGAGGUCUUGACGGCCCAUAUGUAUUCAUGUUUUAUGAACGAUGUUUCAUUGAUAUAACCUUUGCCCAUUUCUGUA